rnacentral:rRNA from 1 species
UCUAAGCACAUGCCUUAAUACGGUGAAGCCGCGAAUAGCUCAUUACAACAGCCACCGUUUACUAGAAUAUAGUUAUCCUACUUGGAUAACUGUGGCAAUUCUAGAGCUAAUACAUGCAAAAAAUCUCCGACCGCAAGGAAAGAGAGCAUUUAUUAGAAUAAAAACCAAUCGGGUUUCGGCCCGUAAUUUGGUGAAUCUGAAUAACUUUGCCAAUCGCACAGUCCUAGUACUGGCGAUGUAUCUUUCAAGUGUCUGCCUUAUCAACUUUCGAUGGUAGGUUAUACGCCUACCAUGGUAGUAACGGGUAACGGAGAAUAAGGGUUCGACUCCGGAGAGGGAGCCUGAGAAACGGCUACCACAUCCAAGGAAGGCAGCAGGCGCGCAAAUUACCCACUUCCAGAACGGAGAGGUAGUGACGAAAAAUAACGAGACAGUCCUCUUCGAGGUCUGUCAUCGGAAUGGGUACAAUUUAAAUCCUUUAACGAGGAUCUAUUGGAGGGCAAGUCUGGUGCCAG